rnacentral:rRNA from 1 species
UACGGGGGGGGGCAAGCGUUGUUCGGAAUUACUGGGCGUAAAGGGCUCGUAGGCGGCCAACUAAGUCAGACGUGAAAUCCCUCGGCUUAACCGGGGAACUGCGCUCUGAUGACUGGAUGGCUCGAGAUUGGGGAGAGGGGAUGCGGAAUUCCUGGUGUAGCGGUGAAAUGCGCAGAUAUCAGGAGGAACACCGGUGGCGAAGGCAGGUCUCUGGGCAUUAACUGACGCUGAGGAGCGAAAGCAUGGGGAGCGAACAGG